rnacentral:rRNA from 1 species
UACGUAGGCAGCGAGCGUUGUUCGGAAUUACUGGGCGUAAAGCGCACGUAGGCGGCUUUCUAAGUCGGGGGUGAAAUCCUGGAGCUCAACUCCAGAACUGCCUUUGAUACUGAGAAGCUUGAGUCCGGGAGAGGUGAGUGGAACUGCGAGUGUAGAGGUGAAAUUCGUAGAUAUUCGCAAGAACACCAGUGGCGAAGGCGGCUCACUGGCCCGGUACUGACGCUGAGGUGCGAAAGCGUGGGGAGCAAACAGG